rnacentral:rRNA from 1 species
UACGUAGGAGGCAAGCGUUAUCCGGAAUGACUGGGCGUAAAGGGUGCGUAGGUGGUUUGACAAGUUGGUAGCGCAACUCCGGGGCUCAACCUCGGCACUACUACCAAAACUGUUGAACUUGAGUGCAGGGGGGGCAAAUGGAAUUCCUAGUGUAGCGGUGGAAUGCGUAGAUAUCACACAGAACACCGAUUGCGAAGGCAUCUCACGAAUCCGCUAUUGACGCUGAUGCACGAAAGCGUGGGUAUCAAACAGG